rnacentral:lncRNA from 1 species
CUAUGUCGGUCAGUGAUGCGGCGCUCUGAAGGCCUCGGGAGCGGUGGCGAGAAGACGGAGGUCGUGAUUGACCUAGGAGAAGCCUUUACCAAGUGUGGAUUCGUAGUGUGAUAAAUUCCUAGUGUGAUAAAAAGAGCUGGCAUGUCUAAGCCAAUCAAAAUUGCUCCGUGUAAUAUCGAUACAGAAGAAUUAUAUUCCUACCUAAAGGAAUUCAUCCACAUACUGUAUUUCAGGCAUAUGUUGGUGAAUCCCAGAGACCGCCGGGUUGUGGUUAUUGAGUCGGGUUAUGUUCUUCCCACUUCGGAGAGACCCUUACUCGAGUUCUUGUCAAAUAUUUUG